rnacentral:rRNA from 1 species
UACGUAGGGUGCAGGCGUUAAUCGGAAUUACUGGGCGUAAAGCGUGCGCAGGCGGUUUCUUAAGUCAGAUGUGAAAGCCCCGGGCUUAACCUGGGAACUGCGUUUGAAACUGGGAGACUUGAGUGUGGCAGAGGGGGGUGGAAUUCCACGUGUAGCAGUGAGAUGCGUAGAUAUGUGGAGGAACACCGAUGGCGAAGGCAGCCCCCUGGGUUAACACUGACGCUCAUGCACGAAAGCGUGGGGAGCAAACAGG